UACAGAGGUCUCAAGCGUUGUUCGGAUUCAUUGGGCGUAAAGGGUGCGUAGGUGGCAUGGUAAGUCGGGUGUGAAAUCCCGGGGCUCAACCCCGGAACCUGCACUCGAUACUACCGUGCUCGAGUACUGGAGAGGAGACUGGAAUUUACGGUGUAGCAGUGAAAUGCGUAGAUAAUCGUAAGGAAGACCGGUGGCGAAGGCUAGUCUCUGGACAGUUACUGACACUGAGGCACGAAGGCCAGGGAGCAAACGGG
rnacentral:rRNA from 1 species